GGGUUGUGAGGUUAAGCGACUAAGCGUACACGGUGGAUGCCCUGGCAGUCAGAGGCGAUGAAGGACGUGCUAAUCUGCGAUAAGCGCCGGUAAGGUGAUAUGAACCGUUAUAACCGGCGAUUUCCGAAUGGGGAAACCCAGUGUGAUUCGUCACACUAUCAUUAACUGAAUCCAUAGGUUAAUGAGGCGAACCGGGGGAACUGAAACAUCUAAGUACCCCGAGGAAAAGAAAUCAACCGAGAUUCCCCCAGUAGCGGCGAGCGAACGGGGAGGAGCCCAGAGCCUGAAUCAGCAUGUGUGUUAGUGGAAGCGUCUGGAAAGGCGCGCGAUACAGGGUGACAGCCCCGUACACAAAAGCGCAUGUGCUGUGAGCUCGAUGAGUAGGGCGGGACACGUGGUAUCCUGUCUGAAUAUGGGGGGACCAUCCUCCAAGGCUAAAUACUCCUGACUGACCGAUAGUGAACCAGUACCGUGAGGGAAAGGCGAAAAGAACCCCGGCGAGGGGAGUGAAAAAGAACCUGAAACCGUGUACGUACAAGCAGUGGGAGCCCCACCACUAAGCCAGUGGUGAACUCCACAUCCGCAUCCUUUGCUGAGGAUACGGUUAACGGAGCGAAAGCGACGUUCAACCGCAAAACAAGCAGAGGGGGC
rnacentral:rRNA from 1 species